AGAGUUUGAUCCUGGCUCAGGACAAACGCUGGCGGCGUGCGUAACACAUGCAAGUCGGACGGGGUUGUGUGACGCGAGUGAUCGCGUGGCAUGGCCGAGUGGCGGACGGGUGAGUAAGACGUGGAUAACCUACCCUGGUGUGGGGGAUACCCUGUAGAAAUAUGGGCUAAGACCGCAUGAGGUCGCUUUGGGGGAGCCUG
rnacentral:rRNA from 1 species